rnacentral:rRNA from 1 species
UACGAAGGGGGCUAGCGUUGCUCGGAAUUACUGGGCGUAAAGGGCGCGUAGGCGGAUACUUAAGUCGGGGGUGAAAGCCCGGGGCUCAACCUCGGAAUUGCCUUCGAUACUGGGUAUCUUGAGUUCGGGAGAGGUGAGUGGAAUGCCGAGUGUAGAGGUGAAAUUCGUAGAUAUCGGGAGGAACACCUGUGGCGAAAGCGGCGCACUGGACCAUAACUGACGCUGAUGCGCGAAAGCUAGGGGAGCAAACAGG